GCAGCAAUGAUGAUUGGCGCAGGGGUACGGACCUCAGCUAGAUCAUGGGAGCUGAUUGUGAGCUAUCUGCGUUCCAGCUUCGCUGGCAUGUGGCUGGCUUCCUGGAAACGGGCUUGCAAGAGAAUUUCGCCUUACACUGAGCUGC
ensembl:snoRNA SNORD94 small nucleolar RNA SNORD94